AAUGGUUAAAUUGGCACAUUUCAUGUUCUUUUUUUUUAUAACAGUAAUUAAUAAAUUAUAAAAGGAAGAAAAAAAAAGGAAGAAGACACCGCCAGGCACAGUGUGGGGUGGGCUGUGACACCCAAUGGUGGCUCACCACUCAGCCCCCGAGGAGGACGGACUCCUGCAGGUGGGGGCAAGUGACAGCGGCCUGCACUACGUCCACAGGGCAUCAACUGGACAGCAGCUUGACUCUACUGACAGACGCAGCCUCCUCCUGGACAACGUUGCCUGGACACAGUGGCCUCUAUGUUUUGCUGUGGACAGUGACACCAAGGACACUCAACCGUUCUCUUAGCCUCCCUUAGGCUCUCCAGAAAGUGUCACCCGACACUCGGGCUGCACAGCCUAACCCCCAGUGUCACCUGGGCACAGUUUCACUAGUUGUCCUUAUCACCAGGACCCACUCACCUAGCACAGCCUGCAGCAGAGCCUGGAACCAGUAGCUUCUCACCUCCUGGCCUCAAGGAAAUGUCAACUGAAGUCAGCACUUAACCCCUAUAGUGGCCUGGGGUCCCUCAGCCCGCUUGUUUUUUAAAAUAAAAUGUGUAGUCUUA